UACGGAGGGUGCAAGCGUUAUCCGGAUUUACUGGGGUUAAAGGGCGUGUAGGCGGACUAUUUAAGUCCGUGGUGAAAUCUCCGGGCUCAACCCGGAAACUGCCAUGGAUACUAUUAGUCUUGAAUGUUGUGGAGGUGGGCGGAACGGGUCAUGUAGCGGUGAAAUGCUUAGAGAUGACCCGGAACACCGAUUGCGAAGGCAGCCCACUACGCAACUAUUGACGCUGAGGCACGAAAGCGUGGGGAUCAAACAGG
rnacentral:rRNA from 1 species